rnacentral:lncRNA from 1 species
UGAAAGAAAACAAGGGGAGGCAGGGAAGAAGGUGAACGCAUUUCCAGUUGGUGGCGGCGCAAAUAUGAACGUCGUGGCAGGAGAAGCUGUGGCAGGGAGGAGAGAUGGCGUGUUAGGUUUUUUUUCCUUCUGUUUUCAGGGAGGAGAGAAGGCGUGCGUUAGGUUUUUUUCUUUGCUUUUCAUCUGUUUGCAGAGGAGGAUCGUGUUGAUUAUUCCCUAUUUUUUAGGAGAGUUAGUUUCCUAAUUUAUCUGAUUCUCUGUUGUAUAUAAAUUUGCACAACCUCAUUGUGAUAAUUCUACUGUUAGUCAAUCAUGGAUA